rnacentral:lncRNA from 1 species
GAGGCGCCAAGGCGCUCGUUUGGCGCGCGCGCCCUAGGCGGCGGAUCUAAGCUAACUUCUUGGAUCUUUUCUUGUUUCUCCUUGGUUUUUGACUUUUUCUGGACCCUGGUGUCUACGAUUUCCGAGAUGCCGUCUUCUUUGUUGGGCGCGGCGAUGCCGGCCUCUACAUCUGCCGCAGCCCUGCAGGAAGCUCUGGAAAAUGCUGGACGGCUCAUCGACCGUCAGUUGCAAGAGGACCGCAUGUACCCGGACCUUUCCGAGCUGCUUAUGGUGUCUGCCCCAAGUGAGUGAUAGUGACCCUGCUUUCUCAACCUAAAGGACUCUCGCCUGACUUCCUAAUUUGCUACUUAUCCCCAGCGUUGGUCCCGGCGAGGAUAUGCUGAGAUUUAUGGCACUGUUGGCUGCAUUUUUGGAGAACAGCAAGCAGCUUCUUUUCAGAUAAUCCCACCGUUUCUGGCAUGUCAGAUAUGGAUUAUCCUUUGCAAGGACCUGGUUUGCUGUCCGUACCCAACCUUCCAGAGAUCAGUUCCAUCCGAAGAGUUCCUCUCCCACCUGAACUUGUUGAGCAGUUUGGACAUAUGCAGUGUAAUUGCAUGAUGGGUGUGUUCCCUCCUAUCAGCAGAGCUUGGCUCACAAUUGACAGUGAUAUAUUCAUGUGGAACUAUGAGGAUGG